rnacentral:rRNA from 1 species
ACGGAAGGCAGCAGUGGGGAAUAUUGCACAAUGGGGGAAACCCUGAUGCAGCGACGCCGCGUGAGUGAAGAAGUUAUUCGUAAUGUAAAGCUCUAUCAGCAGGGGAGAAAAUGACGGUACCUGACUAAGAAGCCCCGGCUAACUACGUGCCAGCAGCCGCGGUAAUACGUAGGGGGCAAGCGUUAUCCGGAUUUACUGGGUGUAAAGGGAGCGUAGACGGUCUAGCAAGUCUGAUGUGAAAGGCAGGGGCUCAACUCCUGGACUGCAUUGGAAACUGUUAGUCUUGAGUGUCGGAGAGGUAAGCGGAAUUCCUAGUGUAGCGGUGAAAUGCGUAGAUAUUAGGAGGAACACCAGUGGCGAAGGCGGCUUACUGGACGAUAACUGACGUUGAGGCUCGAAAGCGUGGGGAGCAAACAGGAUUAGAUACCCUGGUA